AACGACUCUCGGCAACGGAUAUCUCGGCUCUCGCAUCGAUGAAGAACGUAGCGAAAUGCGAUACUUGGUGUGAAUUGCAGAAUCCCGUGAACCAUCGAGUCUUUGAACGCAAGUUGCGCCCAAAGCCUUCCGGCCGAGAGCACGUCUGCCUGGGCGUCACGC
rnacentral:rRNA from 1 species